rnacentral:rRNA from 1 species
UGGGGAAUUUUGGACAAUGGGCGAAAGCCUGAUCCAGCAAUGCCGCGUGUGUGAAGAAGGCCUUCGGGUUGUAAAGCACUUUUGUCCGGAAAGAAAUCCUUGGCUCUAAUACAGUCGGGGGAUGACGGUACCGGAAGAAUAAGCACCGGCUAACUACGUGCCAGCAGCCGCGGUAAUACGUAGGGUGCAAGCGUUAAUCGGAAUUACUGGGCGUAAAGCGUGCGCAGGCGGUUUGCUAAGACCGAUGUGAAAUCCCCGGGCUCAACCUGGGAACUGCAUUGGUGACUGGCAGGCUAGAGUAUGGCAGAGGGGGGUAGAAUUCCACGUGUAGCAGUGAAAUGCGUAGAGAUGUGGAGGAAUACCGAUGGCGAAGGCAGCCCCCUGGGCCAAUACUGACGCUCAUGCACGAAAGCGUGGGGAGCAAACAGGAUUAGAUACCCUGGUAGUCCACGCCCUAAACGAUGUCAACUAGUUAUUGGGGAUUCAUUUCCUUAGUAACGUAGCUAACGCGUGAAGUUGACCGCCUGGGGAGUACGGUCGCAAGAUUAAAACUUAAAUGAAUUGACGGGGUCAUAGCUGUUUCCU